rnacentral:tRNA from 1 species
CGUAGCUCAGUCGGUAGAGCGUUACCUUGGUAAGGUAAAGGCCUCGGGUUCAAGUCCCGUCGG